rnacentral:rRNA from 1 species
UUAGUUUCUUAAUUGGGAAAUAGGAUGAAUGGUUUCACUAAAAUAUAGUUAUCAUCCUCAUUUGCGAAAUUAUAAUCUAAGUGAAAAUACUUAGCAGUUGUACUAGGACGAGAAGACCCUAUGAAGCUGGCAAACUAUUAAUACAUAUUCCUAUUAUUUAUUAGUUUAUUUUUUGGGGUAAAAUUUAAUAAUACUAUUAACACAAUUGUACUAAAUUACAUCCUUUAGGAAUUAUGAAGAAGUUCCUCUAGGGAUAACAGCAUUAUGCUUAAAAGAGUUUUUAUCAGAAUAAGCGUUUGUGACCUCGAUGUUGAAUUAAAUGCUCUUUUAUGUGCAGGAGCUUAGAAGAG